rnacentral:lncRNA from 1 species
AAGGGCCUCUGAUAAAUCUCUUCACGGACCGCUUGCUUAUAUCAAGAGGCAGAACAUUUAGAAAAGACAUAGUGCCUGCUGCUGUCUGGGCCAAGCCAUCCCACAAGCAGGCUGAAGUGUGAGAGAGGCAGAUACAUUCCCUUUCAAAAUGUCUAUGGUCCCCUGGUCCAUGAUAUAAUAGGAGAGAUGCACAGCUGGCUUAGCUUGCGCCGUCUCCCAAUGCGGACAGGCACCUGGGAGAGCCAAGAUCGUUAGCCCUCCAGGCAAACCAUUCAAGUCCUCGUGCUGUCAAGGGUUUACUCCAGCUAACACCACAGCUUUACUGUUCCUCUUCCAAUCAAUAGUGGAAUGAAAUGAUCCAGUUGGAAUUCCAGUUCAGGCCACAGAGCUGACAUCUUCUGGAUUCCCACUCCUGGGGAUUCUCAGACCCAAAGGCAAAAUGGGCCCUGGUCAUGGGAAAGUCCAUGGCUUUAGAUGGGCAGAAUCUGCAGCCACUGAGGCUGCAGCACACAGCAGGGACCAAAGCCAGGAACAGCCAAGGACACUCAAUGCCACUCCUGCCUUAUGCCAGCCCUCAGGGUGAGUGCAUAAGCUCUUCCCAUAAAAAUGGCAUUUGCACCCUUAGUAACCUUUUAUUCAAUUCAACUUCAUCUAGUCCUAG